rnacentral:lncRNA from 1 species
AGUUCAUGUAAUUGGUGUACCAUCUAUAGUUGAAAAUUUGAAACUAUUUGGAUUAUUAAGUGUGCUAAGUGUAUACAAAAUUUUGUGAUAAUCUAACGGCGUGGUUUAGAGAUAUCCAGUUUUUUAGCACAAGAGGGUUUUGGAAGGUGGCAGUUUGAGGUUGGGUAGGGUUUCUAUGAUAUCUAAAGAUCUAUUAGUCAGAUUAAGGUGAAAAUUAGCAUGGUGUUGAAAGAUUUGAAGAUCAAGCUACAUAUCAAUUUUGAAACAAA